GAGAGAGUGGUGCAGAGAGAGCCCCGUAAGACAGGAAACCUUGCCUUGGCAGGGCGAAAUGACCAGGAGGAAAGUAGGAUUUAGACACACUGACAAGUUUCCUUAUAUUAUGCAGCACUAUGCAAUUUUCUAAGUGCUUUCAGAUGUUUACUCUUGACUCCCAUAAAAUCGCUGUGAGCUGAGCAGGGCUUAAUAUGAUUUCUACAUUCUAGAAGAGCCUGAGAUCACACGGCUGGGGAACCGUGGGGCAGGAUGGAGUGUGGGUCCUUCGUCUCUUGGCUUCCUGGGUGUCGGAGCUGGGUGUAAAUCCAAGCACCCACCCUGCAGCCUGUGCUCAGCCCACCGUGCUCCAGGCUGCUCAGGCUUUGUGCACGGAGUAGAGUCAGAGGCAACGGAAGAGGAGGUGGCAGCCAGCACUCUUGGGCCCGGGACCCUUGCUUGAGACUUGACAUGAAAUGGAAGAGAGUGCGAGAACUGGAAGGAGAUCACAGUAGCUCUGGCUUUCAGACACAAGUGUCUAUUUCCUCAGUCAAGGAGAAGCCUUCCUCACACCAUGAGAGGUGUGGACCUUGUAUCUCUUACAACAACCAAGGCUGGACACCACCUCCUAAUGUCGUUGGAAAAGCCAGUGCUCCACCUUAUGACCCAAACUGACUGAGAGAAUGUUUGCCAGGCCCCUGGCUGUCUACGAGGAAUGGGAGGCAUUAAUGGAUUAACUGAAUCCUGGCUCCUACAUGUUAGCCUGAGGUCAAGAGUUAAAACAACAUUGAAAUAUCUUCCUAAUCACAAAGAAAUUCCAAAUCAAGUCAUUUCAUUUGCACAGAAGUCUUGUAAAUGUGAUCUUUGCAGAGGGAAAGCACUCCAUGGAAUGAAGGGGAAGAAGGAGCAAGGGUACGGGUCCCAGUGGUCCCAGCCUGGACUCUUCCUAGCUGUUGAGCACAGCUGAAAGAACAGAGCAACACUCGAGGCCAAGGUGGAAAGAGCUUCCUUUCCUUGUAGGCCACUGACCUUACACUGGAACGAGCACCACCAGCAAACACCUGUGAUGCCAAUCGUCUUGCAGGCUCUGCAGAACCCCAAGAGGGCCCUCCAGGGGAGAACUGCUGGAACCCGGACCAGGGGGAGUUGUCCAGGAGUGGAACCAUCUGCCUAGCAGCAUGGGAGAGCAUGAAGACAUGGAAGAAAACUACAAAGGAUCCUUCUCGCAAGUCCCCAGACAAUAGCCAGGAUUCUCCAGGUCAACACCCUCUUCCAGGCUUCAAGCAAGUCAUUGGCUUCAGCAUCUGUGAAACCCAAGGAAUGUUAUGUAAUUGUCUCAUUCUCGUGCAUAUGUAUGUUCUUCUAAGGAGAAGGCUCCCAGUGUUCAUCAGAUUCCAAAGUAAUCUAUGAGCUGAAAAGGGUAGAAGCCCUGCUCCAGACUGCCUCCGCUGAGAGCCAGGCAUUGCUCUGCAGGGAUGAAGCUCCACUUGGAUCCUGCCCAUGGCCAGCUGAAGCCCCUUCUGCCUCUUGGAAGUCCUGGAGCCACUUAUUUUAAGAACAUGGCCUGUAGUGUGGAUCUUCAACUGCUGAUUGCAAUGGAUUCAACGUCCCUUGACCGGGCAGUGUGCCAGGGAAGCUGCAUUUCCUCCGCAAAGGCUGGCAGAAAAACUUAGGCCCCAACUUAACAGAAAACACGAAGGAGCCAGAGUCAGCUUUCCUUUUACAGUCAGAGGCUCCCCACACUGGUGGUGAAUCCUCAGCACAGGCGAAAAACAGGAAGGGAUAAAAAUGAAGGAAGUCUCUUGGCCAGUGGUCUUGAAGUGUUCCUUCCACACGGGUCCACUUCAGCCUGCCUGUGGGCAUCCUCUCCUUUCUGCAGUGGUUACUUGCAGUGCAUCUCAGCCUUUCUACUGGAGUUCCAUUCUCCACUUAGGGCCAAGCAGCCUGUCUAACCCACGGUGCACACAGGAAUGCAAAAUAUCCCCUGCUGUGUGCUGAUGCCUCAUGCAGCAGGAAGCAGUCCCAAGGUGUCCUGAAAUUAACUUACCAAGUCGCAUGCAGCAUUUCCUUCCUUUUAUUUUCGUUUGGAAAGAGACUGGAAUGGAAUGGAAUAGACAGACUAGACUAGAACAUAUCUGAGUCAUUGUGUGGUAAUGACUUCUUGAAACUUUUGUUUCAGUGUGUGUGGUGGGGUAAGGGGGGAUCACAAUUUAAAAUGUUGCCUCUCAGUCAGAAAACAACUUGGAAGGAUGAAUCUCAGGCCAUCCACGGAGCUUGCACAUGAUGUCCAGGGCCUUCUGAAGGGCUGUGAAGUUGCAGGGUAAACAACAACAAAAGCAGCGGGACAGAGGGCCUUGAUUCAGGUCCAGGAGGUGCUGGGUCCUCAGUCAAGUCCCACCGUCCCUUUGAGCCUUUCUUCUCAUCUGUAAAAUGAGGAUAAUCAGUCUCACUUCGCCUGCCUUGAAGGGUUGUUGUGCGGCUCAAACGGAACAGUGUUUGCUAAAUGUGGUGCACAUCAUAGGACAAGGCUUAUGUAAGGCAUUUUGGAAUUUUUAUUUAUAGUGGGAAGUUCAAACCAGGAAAAGAAGAGAUGGAUAAUAGCGUUGUUCAGGGUAGGUUGCACAGGGUGCUAUGGUUUGAAUGUGUCCCCCAGAAAUCAUGAGUUGGAAACUUAACCCACAAUGCAAUGGUGGUGGGAGGUCGGGCCUAAUGGGAGGAGUUGCAUCACGACAGCUCCACCCUCAUGAAUGGAUCCAUGCCAUUAUAAAAAAGCCAGACCCUGCGAGUUCACCCUCUUGCUCUCUCUCACCUUCUCUUUGCCAUUUUGCCGUGGAAUGAAGCAGCAAGAAGGCCCUCGUCAGAUGCCAGCCCCUCAGUCUUGGACUUCUCAGCCUCCAAAACUGUGAGAAGUAAAUUUCCUUUCUUUAUAAAUUACUUAGUCUGUGUAUUCUGUUAUAGCAACACAAAACAGAUUAAGACAGAGAGUGUCAAAGAUCCCUCAAGUCACCCCACGUGGCAGUCUCGGCAGUCUCCCAGUUCUCCUGCAUGUCCAGCCAGAUGAGACUAUCCAGGUAAUGCCUCAGGAAUCCUCCUACCGCAGUGAUUCUAAGCAACACAAGCAAAGGAAGUUUCAAGUUUGUUUUGUUUUUAAGUGUUCUUGACCCUAGGGCUGGUAUUUGAUAGCACCUGAAUGUCUAGGGCUGACCAGUUCUUUCUGGCUCACUCCACCCCUGCAGAGCCGUAGGAAACCCAUGCAACUUCCUCAUUGCCCAUGAGGCAAGGCAAGUGGUAGCGCACGCCUCUUAUGGAGUGAACACUACUGUUCUUUCUACUUCAUGGGAAGGUCUUGCAAAACAUUGGUUCUGUCUUCUUGCAUGAAUCAUAGACUAAAGAAUGAAGAAACACUUCUGAGUAACAAACAAGGAAGAAAGAAAAGGAAGCAAGCUGUGGUGAUGCGUUCUUGGAACAUAACUCCAAGUCAGUUCAUAGGAGCGAAAUCAACGUGUAGAUCUUUGUGUAAGGUUUUGCUGCUAAAGGACAAAAAAAAAAAAACUUUCCUUUUCCUUUUUUUUCUGAGUAAAAAGAUAACAGACACUCAUAAAAAUCAAAUAACGAAAUUAGAUCCCAAGAAGAGGACAAUGUAAGCAAUUUAAAGCACAUUUUCCCAAACUUGUGUCUUUUACUAAACUAAAAGAUUGAUACACAUACAUGGGCACAGUAUAGAUGUCAUUUUCCACUCCAUGUUUUCUUACCCAUCCACAUGACGGAGAGCUUUAUCCAUGAUGGUGGAUGAAAAUCUAGAACACUGCUAUUAGUAGUAGCAUUCUGUCAUAAAAAUGAAGCAGGACUUAUUAGUCAAUCUCACUGAAGGAUGUUUAAGUUGCUUCUGAAUUUUUGUUUCUAUAAAAAAAAAUGCCAGGAUAAACAUUCUUAUAUAUUCAUUAUUGUGCAUUUGUUCAGUUAUCUCCCAGGAAUAAGUUUCUGAGAGAAGAAUGACUGGGUCAAAAACUAUCAGAAUGUUCAACGUUAAUGUAUAUUGCCAAAUUGCCCUGCAGAAAUGGGGCAUCAGGUCCUACCAUCCCAGAAUUGCACAAGAGAACCCAUCUCUCCACAUCUAACCAACAGUGGUUACUGUCAAUCUUUUCACCUGUUUUCCAAUCUGAUAAGUAACAAAUAAUAUGUAUUUGUUGUUUUAAUUGCAUUUCUUUGAUUUCAGUGAGAUGUUAAAUUACUAAUUGUUAUCAAUGCAAAUAUACUACUAGCAGUGACAAUUGCUAAUCUGCACUGAAAAAUUUCUCUGCACCAGGCACUUUACUAAGCCCUUUACAGAAUUAUUUUCUUUUAUCCUCACAAUAACCCCUCAAGGCAGGGAAAAUAAGUAUCCCUAUUUUACAGAUAAAAACAAAGGCUUAGAGAGGUUACUUUGCUGAAGGUCAUGGAGCUAGUAAAUAGUGAAUCCAGAACUCAGUCCAGGUAGAUCUACCCCCAAAGCCCACACUGGGUAGCAAGCAUUAUCCUUCCAUUUAUUUCCAUACACACACUCACUAAUUCUGUGUUUCCUCUACGUAUGUUUCCACAGGCGAGUUUUAUGUCUUUAUGACCUUUGCUCAUUUUUUUUCAAUUGGAGUGCUUAUGUUUUUCUUAUUAAUUAGCAAUAACUUUUGGCUAUUAAGAAUAUUAAUUGCCAUUUUUAAAUCUACUUUUUUCUCUAUGAAAUGUAAUUAUAUACAAUUUACAACUUUCA
rnacentral:lncRNA from 10 species